GGGAGGGUGCCGGCGAGGUGGCGAGGGCGGCAGGUGCGGGGGCGUAGCAGCCCUGGCCAAGCCCAGAGACCGGAGGACACCCCCUCCCAGAGCUCUAACACAGGCAACUUCCCACUGCCGGGAACGGAGUUUCUCCGUUGCCCACGGACAUCCAGGAGGCGCUGUGGAGGGCAAGCAGGGUAACCCCCACUCCUAACCCACAUCUAUCCAAGGGGAGCCAGAGGAGCCAGCAGGUCCGGACUCGCUGAGGGGGGCUCCACGCGGGGCCUCCCACGCACAGGAUAACAACUAUUAUCAAAGGUUUGCUAUAAAAGAGGAUGCUCAAUUUUGGUGGAGUUGCAAGAGGACCCAGCCCAUUGUUUCAGCCAGUGAGUUGAGUUCCCUCUACGGCAACUCUCCUUGCUGCCGGUUAGAACAACUCCAGAGUGGGAAUUCAUAACCUGCCCAAGCACUCUGCUCCAUCACUAGGGAGCUAGUGUUGACAAACGACUGAACAGGAAGAACGGAAGCUGUCACUCAGUACCUCCUGUGUGACAGUCCUGGGUGUGUCUUCAAGGCUUCAGAGGAAGUGACAGUUCUGCAGGAAAGCUUCCUGAUAUCCACGGAUGCCACUGGCUCCACACACUCCCACCUGUCCAUCCAAUAUUUCUGUCCAGACAGACUCUUCUCUAUAUGACCUGAUUUGGGUGCCCCUUGUUUUACGGGCCAAUCUAGAUACUGUGCUAAGAGUGAGGGAUUCAGAGAAACUGGAUAAUUGAGUUCAAUGGACAUUUUAUAGACUCUUGACCAACAUAUGCCACCCACUGCACCAAGGUCUGGGAACACAGAGAUGAUGGAGAAACAUCUCUUUUCUCCAGGAGCUCAGCUGGGAGUGAAAUCCCACAAAACAGCAGGUAGACAGCUCUUCCUUGACUCCCUUCAGGAAAUGCAAAACAUGGGCCGACCUGAGCUGGGACUUGGCUGAGAAGCAGAACCAUCCAAUCAACAGUCCCUCCAUGUUCACCCCGCUGGGACCUCUCUGCUCCCUGGCUAAGGCCUCAGGGACCUCCAGGUAGAGUGGGAAAGACCCAGGCUCCUGGGGAGCAGGGCUCCUGGAAAGCUUUCCUACCUUCAUUCCUGGAGCAAGGAUCACCAAAGUUGUUUAAGACAGUGGAGGUGGGGGGAGGGUGCAAAUGGGGCCUGGCUUGGAGCCUCUACCUUUCCUCAUCAUACCAUGGUAUCUGCUGAAGCUGGCCAGAAUCCAGGCCUUAGCCCAGAGGUGUCCAGAGACGGCAUCUUCUGGAAGGCUCUUGGUGAGUCUACAGGGGAAGUGGGUGUGCUGAUGCUGUGGAAUCCAGGACACAGAAGAUCCUUGCAAUGGCUGAAUCCCAGUCAUCGCAGGGGACCAUAAAAUCCUCACAGAGCAGAAGAGGAGAGAGACUCCAGCUGCCUCGCACAUCGGGGCACGUGACCAAUCUGCUCUCUACCCGCCCGGCAGGUAAGAAUGAGAUUGACAUGGCGUGGGUAGACGUGGGUGCUGCUGGGAUCCCUGUCACCUGCCCGCCUGCAUCCCAGGGCCCUGCCUCCUUCCACUUCCCUCCUCCACCUGCCUUCUCUCCAGGUCCCGGCUCUUCUUCCUUGAACCCAUCUGCAGAUGCAAGCCCUGGCCUGGGAGGGACGGCAUCUCCCCGCAGCCCUUCCGCAGCUGCCUCCUUUGGAUCUUUUUGCGGUCUGGGCUUGCUGUUCUCUCGACAGUAGUCAGGAAGCCCUUACCCCAAAAAGUAUCUGCGGGGGGCGUGGUCUACAGGGGGGACCUCCAGGGGUUCCAGGUGAGUCAUACCAAACCCAAGAAUACCAGGUGAAUCCACACAUCCUUGCCAUAUGUUUGUGCUGCUGGGUGACCACGGGUCAAGUCCUAAAGCUGUGCUUCUCAACCUUCCUAAUGCUGUGACCCCUUAGUACAGUUCCUCGUGUUGUGGUGAUCCCCUAACCAUAAAAUUAUUUCAUUGCUACUUCAUAACUAACUUUGCCCGUUAUGAAUUGGAAUGUAAAUAUCUGACAUGCAGGUUAUCUGAUAUGUGACCCCCAAAAGGGUUGUGACCCACAGGUUGAGAAAUGCUGCCCUACGGCUUUCUGCGCCCCAGUCACCUCCUACCUGUAACCCUUGCCUGGUACGCAAUGUUCACUGAGAGUGCCUCCAGUCUAGGCCAGAGAAGGCACUUGGGUGGAUGUUGCUGGCCACCAUGGGCACUCCCGCAGGACUGUCACUCGGUAUGUCCAACCCUCCCUGUGCGUUGAGUAGACAUGAGAUCCAAGACAGGCCUGGCUGUUGGUAUGCAGACCUGUGACUGGGAAAACCACAGUUGAUCGGAUGGAUCCCAGCAGCCAUGCGAUGAGAAGAUGAUGAGCUUCUGCCCAGGAUGAGGUGCCUGGCAUCUGCCCUCCCUUAGCCUGAGUGGCCACUACCUCCUUCCUCCGGUGAGUCACUACAAAUCCUUCAAAUAAAACCCUUGACUGUACAUGUAAACGGAGUGGAUACCUUUACUUACCGCUGAUUCAGAGCCCUCUAGAGGGAGGAGGGGGCAUUGCACACGCUGGAGUAAAGGGGCCGACUUGGGGGAAAUCUGUCACCGUCCUGAGAGGAGGCCACUUGGGUGCGUUGACGAGGGUCCAUAGUCAAGGGCUGAGUUAAAAUCCAGAGGAACUAUCUAAAGGUGAGUGCCGUGCGGAGAUAAAAAGCAGAGGACCGACAUAACAUAGAAAGAUUUAAAAUCACCGGGUCCUCAGUUUCCAGAGGUGGUAAGGACAGGUAAUGACAAUUGUAGGUGGCUUCUGCCAGUUCGACGGAGUUGGGGGUGCCUCUGCAGCUGUGGUGAAGUCACAGCCCGUCAGGGGUGACCACAUGGGUGUCCAUCUCAUUCCCCUCUUUCCCCAUCCCACCAAGGUUGAAAGGCCCCAAGCACAGAGGCGGCCAGGCUCGGUGCCUUUCCUUAUCUUUCUACUCUCUACACCCAGGUGCGGGGUGGGGGGCAGCCCAAGGCGAGGAGUACAGUGUCAAUCUCGUUGUCAACAAAGCCACAGAUCUUGAGAAAUAAAGCCCCCAGAAGGUCCUAUCCCCAUGCGGAAGCCACUGGAGGCAAAUCUAAGGCGGCGUGUGAGCGGGUGUGUGAACCUCGCUGAGUUCAAGGCUGCCAAGUGAGCUUGAGUGGGGCUGGGAGUGCGCUGCGGAGGUUCGGGAAGGAGAGCUGAGCUCACAGGUCAGAAGCGGGGACUAUAGGUGUGGGGGGCAAACGCCCCCACUUGGAGACAGGCAGACAUCAGCAGAGAAAGCACGACGUCGACGGGUCACCUUACAGGGCUGACUCAUCUUGUGACCCCAGGCCCUGAUGCUCCCGGACUUACCAAUUCUGACCCCAAACACAGCAGAAUCGCUAGGCUACCAGCCCCCGCGUGCGAGUGGCAACGGUGUGCAUGGCUCACGGGCGGCAUCGUGCGGUCAUCGUGGGGUAGUUCCCUUUACAGCCUCCAUUGUGAGUUACUCUAGAGGACAGCAGUCUUUCCCAGCGGAUUAGGAAAACAGAGCCGUCCUGUCCGAAAGGGCGCGCAGAGCCUGGGGCAGGGUGGCAGUAGGUGGGAAAGGUUGAUAAUGUGAGGCGUCCUUCAGUGAGCUUGUUUACAGCUCGCUCAUCACCUGGGACGAAUCACCCCUCAAAAUGGGUUUCUGGGUCUACAAUCUGGGCAUUUGACUGCCCCUUGCUCUUUAGGCGAGUAUCUCAAGUCACUGUUCUGCUCCUCCCGGGACCUGUUCCUAUUAGAAGCCAUCUUUCAGAAAAGAUUUCAGCUUCCGAUGUAUAUAGGAAGAACCUGACCUUCUGAGUCGGUCAGAUCUGGAGCCAGAGAUCCCAGGCUUCCUGUACUAGCUGUGUGCUCUCGGGAAAGCCACGAACCCUCCCAGGGCUUGUCUCCUCAUCCACAAAACAAGGUGAUAACCCUUUCCUCACAGGGCCGUGGGUCCCAGCUCUGGGCCUAAUGCAUGUCAUCUCUGAGGUGGGAUCUGCGUGACCAUCUGUGUAUGGAGGUUUGCUGCCCAGGACACAGGGGAGAAGGUGGCCACCUUCUGGGGAGCAGUGGGUGGAGAGACCUGAAGAAGGCAGAGGGCGCUGUUCUGUUGCAGCUCCCGAAGUCCCUGAGUCCUAAGGAGCUGGGAGGGAUAGCCGACUAGCUGGAGAGGCAGAGCCUGGAGGGCUCCCCCCACCUGUGGAACAUCACGUCUGGGCAGAGGACGCAAAUAAGCAGAGCUAAGCAAAGCGGCCAAGAGAAAUCAAGAAGGAAAGGGAAAAUGGAGAGGCAACACGAGAAAUCUCUCCAGAUGGCUAAUUUCCCCUCUCAAGAGGCUCAAGGUGCCGCUUGGGCACUGGGCAGGGUGCCCCCUUUCCCAGGAAGCUGAAGGCUGGGAUCUGAUCCAUAUGGGCAUAUGGGCCCUGCAGACUAUGCAGAUAAAGAGGCUUUGCGCCAAUCACCUUCCUCCUGUAGACCUCACUAUCUGUAUAGAGGAAUGUGUAGGGCAUCUCAGCUACCACCGGCUCCCUCCCAGACUCACCCCUCCUAACAGGCAGCAGAACUAGGGCACAAUGCUAACACGAGAAUGGGAGCUGUUAUAACAUGGGAUGGAUGGGUUUGUGGGUGUGAGGGCACCUGAGAUCUGGAAUCUGGGAGAAAGAGGCUGGAGAAAUCAGCAGCAGUGAAGAGACCUAAGGGUUUCCCGGAAGUCCAGCUGGAGCGGGGACAUCAAAGGCGGCUGGAGUUAUUACUUCCCAUAAGCAUAGCACGUGACCCCGCACCCCGACCUGACAUCAGCAGCUCCAUUCACCUGCCCCACCUGCCAGCUUGUCCUCCCCUCUCCACUCUAAGAAGCCUCUCUGCUGCCCCAAAGUUGGCCUGAUCCAGCAGCAUCUGGGGUGGGGGGUAACAGUGGGAACGCCACAGAACCCCCUGAACGAAGCUGGAAGUCACAUGUAGGGGACUGGACAGGUGUCAUUGAUGCUUUCCUUACAUCUGUGCCCUUAGUUCUGGGGAGCUGCUGACCCCAGCUAGACAGCAUCUCUGCUCUGGACUCUUGCCUCCCUCCCCAUCCUUCCUCCCCCCCCCCCCCCGGCUCCUUUCUCAUCCCUUCCCUCUUUCUUUCCCAGAGUCUGUGCCUUGUCCAGCCAUGAGUCAUCUCAGAUCUGAUCUGAUUCUGCCCUUCGAGAUUCUGGGGUCAGUGCACAGCCAUCCUGCAGGCUGUGCCCUUUAGAGGCGUGGUCAGGGCAUUCAGGAUGGGAACAGAGCCUGUAGACUGGUGGUCUGGGACAUGGCUCCUUUGCUGAGAGAACAAGAAGUCCCUCUUUGAACACCUUUAUGUCAAGGCUGCAGGGCCAUUAAAACAAUCCAGGGCUCAGUCUUUCCGGGCAGAGGUUCUCAAAGUAGGGACCACUUUGGGACCUUCGGCUCAGCAUCACACUGGAUAUUGGCAGGCGCUUCAGUCUGGUGCCUGGUUUUUUGUUGGUUGGUUGGUUGGUUGGUUGGUUUUGAAAUGUCUUCAGAGAGCCUGUUCUCAACCGUUUUCAGCACCCGAUGCCUUCAACCAGAACUGAAGGUGGAAUCCAGGGACAUCAUAAAAAGCCUCCACUCACAUCGUUCCAGGCUUCAGCUUGGGUGGAUUCAUGAGAAAGGAAUCCAGGUAUUGGCAUUUGGAAAUGGGAGUUGCUGAAUGCCUAAGAAGUGUGAUUCUACAGCAAAACCCUGGGAAAGACAGAGAAAGAAAAAAAGCUAAAGGAAGAACUAGUUUUGAAGUAUGGCAAUCUGACAGCAAAAUACAAAGAGAAACAUAACAAGGACCUCCUACCCCACCCAAGAGACGGCAGAAGCUAACGUUUUACUGCAUUUGCAUCAGAUUCUUAAAACAAACAACAACAACAACAACAAAAAGACCUUGAACACCUGCUUCGGUGCCCUUUGUGCCCCUUUCUCUCUUCAAACACACAGCUGCUAUCCUGCAAUCAGUGGGUAUUUUUCUGACACAUGUGCUCUCCCCCAUAUUACUCAUAAAUUACACCUAGCAAUACUCUGAGUGCUUUUUAUUUUUACAUAAGUGAUGUCACAGUGACCCUAUCGUUUGAGAACUUACUGUGUUUUUUUUUUUUUUUAAAAUCCAGUAUUGUGUUUCCAAGCACACUCAUUUUAACUUCUGAAUAACUGGUCAGUACAAGAAAACCACAGUUCAUGCCCCCACGCCUCCGAUGGACAUUUCAGUUUGCUGCGGUCUGGAUACAGCUUGUUCCUUCCGAAACCCAUGUUGAAAUCAGAUUGCAAUUGUGUCAGUGUUCGGCAGGGGCCUCCAUCCUCAUGAAUGGCUUAAUCCAUUCACCGAUUAAUAGAUAGAAUGACUGCCUUGUAAAAGUGAGUUCUCACUUGGAGGUGUAAUACAUGUUUGUUAUUCCAGCUCUAGGCUCAGGCAGGAGGACCCUAAGUUUGAAGCCAGCCUUAGCAACUGUCUUAGUCACGAUUCUGUGGCUGUGAAGAGACUCCACGGCCAAAACAACUCUAAUAAGAGUUAAGCGAGGGCUGGCUUACAGCUUCAGAGGUUUUGUUCAUUAUCAUCAUGGCUGGGAGCAUGGUAGCAUGCACGAAGGCGUGGUGCUGGAGAAGUAGUUGAGAACUACAUCCUGAUCCACAGGGCAGAAAAAUAGAGUGAGAAUGGGCCUGGAACAGACUUUGAAACCCCAAGUUUUCCCCCACCCCAUCCUUGGUCCUCCACCCCCAGUGACACACUUCCUCCAAGGCCACACCUCUUAAUCCUUCUAAUCCUAUCAAAGAGCUCCACUCCCUGGUGACAAAGGAUACAAAUACAUGAGUCUAUGAGGGCCAUUCUUAUUUAAACCACCACAGCAAUUUAGCAAGAUCCACCUCAAAAUGAAUAAGAACAAUGGCUAGAAAUGUAGGUCAAUGGUCCUGGGUUUAAUCCCCAGUCCCACCAAACCAAACAAAGACAGAAACAAAGAUAAAUAUAUAGGUAAGCAUGAAAAGGGGGGGAUGGUGGUAGUGAGAUGCCUGGGCAGGUGAAAAUGCUUGUCGCCAAGCCCGACAGCCUGAUUGGAUCCCUGGAACUUACACGCUGGAAGAGAACCGGUUCCCUCAAUUGUCCUCUGACCAUCACAUGCAUGCAGUGGCAUGCAUGGCUGACUGCAUGGGCAUGCACACGGACACAUUAAACACACACUAAACCAAAAACGAGAAAGCCACAAUAACAACAAAAAAAGCUGUGAGCUCCCCGAUGAGCUUGCUCUUCCUUACCCUGAGAUGUGCUCUGCCGUGCUUUGAUGUAGCAGGAAGUCCCUGUUCUGUACAGUCCAGAGAAUGAGCUACAACGACCAGGUUUUAUAUAGAGAGAAAGCAAAAGUUAAAAAGAAAAAGAUACCAAGUACUAUAGAGAUAGAAAGAGCAGCUAAACAUCUUCAGGUCAGUUGUUUUCAUUAUCCAGCUGGAGUAGCCUAAUUGACGAGCAAACAAAGACAGCAUCACCAAACUGGGGCUUACAAUACCCAGCAAAAAUGGCCUGGGGAAGUUGAGGCAGUCAGCUGCAGUUCCUGACUGAGCUUCCUUUCCAUGGAUGAGUUUCUUGAUACUUGCAAAUCCUUUACCUCCCAGCUGUUCUCAAGGACAUGAUGCUUUUGCUAUUCUUGGCCUGCUGGCUGUUUCUGCCUCUCUCUGUUACAGAACCAGGGGGCCAGGCUGACCCAGGAUAAGGAGUUUUGGAGGAGACAAGGGAAGGCCUCAUUGUUUCCAGAGUCCACCUUCAGGAAACUUAACAGAAUGUGACAAUUUACCAAUACAAUGUGUGUUUCAGACCCUUACCAGAGGACCAUCGGGUGUCAGAAACAUGCCUUUGUACAUUCCAGCUUCCAGAAUUGUAAGCUAAAUAAACCUGCAUUCUUCAUA